rnacentral:RNase_P_RNA from 1 species
CCUGGUCUCCGGACGAUCGCCGGCGGCUUUUUGCCGCGGGAGGAAAGUCCGGGCUCCGCAGGGCGAGGUGGUGGGUAACGCCCACCGUUCGCGAGAACAGGGAAAGUGCCACAGAGAACAGACCGCCGGACGGCCAGCACGCUGGCGACGGCAAGGGUGAAACGGCGAGGUAAGAGCUCACCGCGGACCGGUGGACCGGUCCGGCACGGCAAACCCCACCUGGAGGAAGACCGAAUAGGAGGAUCGCGCGGCCCGCGCCGAGAUCCUCGGGUAGGUCGUUGCAGGUCGCCCGCGAGGGCGACCCUAGAGAAAUGAUCGUCACCGCCGCUUCCUGCGGCGGCACCAGAACCCGGCUUACGGAGACCAGGCACU